rnacentral:rRNA from 1 species
UACGUAGGGGGCAAGCGUUGUCCGGAUUUACUGGGCGUAAAGCGCACGUAGGCGGCUUUGUAAGUUAGAGGUGAAAGCCCGGAGCUCAACUCCGGAAUUGCCUUUAAGACUGCAUCGCUAGAAUUGUGGAGAGGUAAGUGGAAUUCCGAGUGUAGAGGUGAAAUUCGUAGAUAUUCGGAAGAACACCAGUGGCGAAGGCGACUUACUGGACACAUAUUGACGCUGAGGUGCGAAAGCGUGGGGAGCAAACAGG